UAUUUGUGUAUACGUGAAUAAGGUUACUUCUCUGUACUUCAGUUGAAGUGGUGGUGGACACGGGUGAAGCUGUCAGUGCUCUUACAACCCCAGCACCAUCUGGAACAUUGCACGCCAAGAAGUAUAUCACAGUAUUUUAUAUAAUACUGAACAUUGGUCAUAUACUGAGUGAAAAAAUACCAGCUGUUAACAUGACCACUGAGGAUCCAUAUUAUAAUCGUCGUGCAAAAGGAACAAAAUUUCGAGCUUUCAGACAUCGUGUUUCUCUUGCAGUUCUUGCAGUAUCUGGACUGAUUGGCAUUGGUUUUCAUUACCUGCCUCAUUCACAAGUGUUGGUCCAGAAGAUCAAAGACGGAGCUUUGGAUGAUGAUGAGGCUAUCAUCAGUCGCAAAGUGCUGAUGCUUGAAUCUCUAACAAGAUUUCUGCUUCCAUAGAAAAGAAAUAAAGGACCGAGAAGAAGGGAAUAUUCCUUGAACACCUCUUCAGUAUUACAUCUCACAACAUUACUUUUUACUUGAAAACUGAAAAUAAUUUUUUUAUAAUUUUACUGAAGGGCUUAUUAGGAUGUGAAAGGAGUUCUAACAAUAUUAAUUUACCUAAAUAUUAGAAUAAUACUCAUGAAUUUAUUGAAGUUCUGCAUAGUUAUCAUUGAUAUAUGCUGUACUGUAUGAAGGAAACCAAUUUUGUCAAUGUUAGAACAUUAAUGGAUUUAAUGAUAGUAAAAAUAUGUAAUUCCUCAGUUUGUACAGAGUACAGGUAUAUGAAAGUAAUUUAUUUUGGUUAUGGAUUUCCUGCAGCAUUAUUUUAAAAAUUUUGUACAUGUAUAUACAAAGAGAUAUGCAUUUCAUUUGUAAUGGAAUGAAUUAUAUUGUACUAUGUAAAGAAUUGAUUGUACAAGAAGCCAUUUGGUAAUUUACAUAUUUUAUUUGUAAUGAAACUUCUAUUGAUCAGCAUUACUUAUGCAUUUCCUGUAUGUUUAGAAUUCCUCCAGUUUUCAUUUUCUAGAGAAACAAAUUGUUAGUACAUGUAUACUAUAUAGGAACAUAAAUUUUUCUGUAAAUAAAGAGGAAAUAAA